UCCGGCUUACCACCGGCGGUCCCAUUAGAGUGCCCAACUUAAUGAUGGCAACUAAUGGCGAGGGUUGCGCUCGUUGCGGGACUUAACCCAACAUCUCACGACACGAGCUGACGACAACCAUGCACCACCUGUAUACCGACCACAAGGGGGGCACCAUCUCUGAUGCUUUCCGGUAUAUGUCAAGCCUUGGUAAGGUUCUUCGCGUUGCGUCGAAUUAAGCCACAUGCUCCACUGCUUGUGCGGGCCCCCGUCAAUUCCUUUGAGUUUUAGCCUUGCGGCCGUACUCCCCAGGUGGGGCGCUUAAUGCGUUAGCUGCGGCACGGAGAACGUGGAAAGUUCCCCACACCUAGCGCCCAACGUUUACGGCGUGGACUAC
rnacentral:misc_RNA from 1 species